CUACGGGUGGCACCAGUCGAGAAUCUUCCGCAAUGGGCGAAAGCCUGACGGAGCAAUGCCGCGUGCAGGAUGAAGGCCUUCGGGUCGUAAACUGCUGUCACCGGGGAUGAAUAAUGACAGUACCCGGGGAGGAAGUCACGGCUAACUACGUGCCAGCAGCCGCGGUAAUACGUAGGUGACAAGCGUUGUUCGGAUUUAUUGGGCGUAAAGGGUUCGUAGGAUGUUGAUUAAGAUUGGUGUGAAAUCCCAAGGCUCAACCUUGGAACUGCAUUGAUUACUGAUGAACUAGAGUGUCGUAGAGGAAAGCGGAAUUCCAGGUGUAGCGGUGGAAUGCGUAGAUAUCUGGAAGAACACCGACAGCGAAGGCAGCUUUCUGGGCGAUAACUGACUCUGAGGAACGAAAGCAUGGGGAGCAAACAGGAUUAGAUACCCCAGUAGUC
rnacentral:rRNA from 1 species